CCUACGGGAGGCAGCAGUGAGGAAUAUUUGUCAAUGGACGAGAGUCUGAACCAGCCAAGUAGCGUGAAGGAUGACUGCCCUAUGGGUUGUAAACUUCUUUUAUAAAGGAAUAAAACGAGGCACGUGUGCCUUUUUGCAUGUACUUUAUGAAUAAGGAUCGGCUAACUCCGUGCCAGCAGCCGCGGUAAUACGGAGGAUCCGAGCGUUAUCCGGAUUUAUUGGGUUUAAAGGGAGCGUAGAUGGGUUGUUAAGUCAGUUGUGAAAGUUUGCGGCUCAACCGUAAAAUUGCAAUUGAUAAUGGCAGUCGUGAGUACAGUUGAGGUAGGCGGAAUUCGUGGUGUAGCGGUGAAAUGCUUAGAUAUCACGAAGAACCCCGAUUGCGAAGGCAGCUUACUAAACUGUGACUGACAUUGAUGCUCGAAAGUGUGGGUAUCAAACAGGAUUAGAUACCCCAGUAGUC
rnacentral:rRNA from 1 species